AGUGAACGCUGGCGGUAGGCCUAACACAUGCAAGUCGAACGGCAGCACAGUAAGAGCUUGCUCUUACGGGUGGCGAGUGGCGGACGGGUGAGGAAUACAUCGGAAUCUACUUUUUCGUGGGGGAUAACGUAGGGAAACUUACGCUAAUACCGCAUACGACCUACGGGUGAAAGCAGGGGAUCUUCAGACCUUGCGCGAUUGAAUGAGCCGAUGUCGGAUUAGCUAGUUGGCGGGGUAAAGGCCCACCAAGGCGACGAUCCGUAGCUGGUCUGAGAGGAUGAUCAGCCACACUGGAACUGAGACACGGUCCAGACUCCUACGGGAGGCAGCAGUGGGGAAUAUUGGACAAUGGGCGCAAGCCUGAUCCAGCCAUACCGCGUGGGUGAAGAAGGCCUUCGGGUUGUAAAGCCCUUUUGUUGGGAAAGAAAAGCAGCAGGUUAAUACCCCGCUGUUCUGACGGUACCUAAAGAAUAAGCACCGGCUAACUUCGUG
rnacentral:rRNA from 1 species